GACGAACGCUGGCGGCGUGCCUAAUACAUGCAAGUCGAACGCAGUGGGGACGGGUGAGUAACACCUGGGUAACCUCCCAUCAGAGGGGAGAACACGUGGAUACAGGUGCUAAACCGAUACUGAUGGAUGGACCCGCGGUGCUUUAGGUAGUUGGUGGGGUAACGGCUCACCAAGGCCACGAUGCAUAGCCGACCUGUGAGGGUGAUCGGCCACACUGGGACUGAGACACGGCCCAGACUCCUACGGGAGGCAGCAGUAGGGAAUCUUCGGCAAUGGACGAAAGUCUGACCGAGCAACGCCGCGUGAGUGAAGAAGGUUUUCGGAUCGUAAAGCUCUGUUGUUAGAGAAGCGGUAUCUAACCAGAAAGCCCCGGCUAACUACGUGCCAGCAGCCGCGGUAAUUC
rnacentral:rRNA from 1 species